AUUGAACGCUGGCGGCAUGCCUAACACAUGCAAGUCGAACGGCAGCACAGAGGAGCUUGCUCCUUGGGUGGCGAGUGGCGGACGGGUGAGUAAUGCAUCGGGAUCUACCCAGACGUGGGGGAUAACCUCGGGAAACCGGGACUAAUACCGCAUACGUCCUACGGGAGAAAGCGGGGGACCUUUUAGGCCUCGCGCGGCUGGACGAACCGAUGUGCGAUUAGCUAGUUGGUGGGGUAAUGGCCUACCAAGGCGACGAUCGCUAGCUGGUCUGAGAGGAUGAUCAGCCACACUGGGACUGAGACACGGCCCAGACUCCUACGGGAGGCAGCAGUGGGGAAUAUUGGACAAUGGGCGCAAGCCUGAUCCAGCAAUGCCGCGUGUGUGAAGAAGGCCUUCGGGUUGUAAAGCACUUUUAUCAGGAACGAAAUCUGCAUGCUUAAUACGUGUGCAGUCUGACGGUACCUGAGGAAUAAGCACCGGCUAACUUCGUGCCAGCAGCCGCGGUAAUACGAAGGGUGCAAGCGUUAAUCGGAAUUACUGGGCGUAAAGGGUGCGUAGGCGGUUGCUUAAGUCUGUCGUGAAAUCCCCGGGCUCAACCUGGGAAUGGCGAUGGAUACUGGGCAGCUAGAGUGUGUCAGAGGAUGGUGGAAUUCCCGGUGUAGCGGUGAAAUGCGUAGAGAUCGGGAGGAACAUCAGUGGCGAAG
rnacentral:rRNA from 1 species